GACGAACGCUGGCGGCGUGCUUAACACAUGCAAGUCGAACGGAAAGGCCCUGCUUUUGUGGGGUGCUCGAGUGGCGAACGGGUGAGUAUCACGUGAGUAACCUGCCCUUGACUUUGGGAUAACUUCAGGAAACUGGGGCUAAUACCGGAUAGGAGCUCCUGCUGCAUGGUGGGGGUUGGAAAGUUUCGGCGGUUGGGGAUGGACUCGCGGCUUAUCAGCUUGUUGGUGGGGUAGUGGCUUACCAAGGCUUUGACGGGUAGCCGGCCUGAGAGGGUGACCGGCCACAUUGGGACUGAGAUACGGCCCAGACGCCAACGGGAGGCAGCAGUGGGGAAUAUUGCACAAUGGGCGGAAGCAUGAAGGAGCGACGCCGCGUGCGGGAUGACGGCCUGCGGGUUGGAAACCGCUUUCGCAUGUGACGAAGCGUGAGUGACGGUAAUGGGUAAAGAAGCACCGGCUAACUACGUG
rnacentral:rRNA from 1 species